rnacentral:rRNA from 1 species
AACCAGACCUGCCCGUAGGCGAUCAGCCGCUGUUUUCAGCGGUGCACUCGCUMUGCGAUCAGGCCAGCAUCGGUUCCGGCGGUCGGAUAAAGGCCUUGGGAAUGUAGCUCCCUCUGGGGAGUCUUAUAGCCCUCGGUGCAAUGCGGCCAGCCGGGACCGAGGACCGCGCUUCGGCUAGGAUGCUGGCGUAAUGGUUGUAAGCGACCCGUCUUGAAACACGGACCAAGGAGUCUACGACUUACGCGAGUGUUUGGGUGUUAAACCCAUGCGCGGAAUGAAAGUGAACGGAGGUGAGAACCCUUAAGGGCGCAUCAUCGACCGAUCCAGAUGUCUUCGGAUGGAUUUGAGUAUGAGCGUGAUUCGUGGGACCCGAAAGAUGGUGAACUAUGCCUGAAUAGGGUGAAGCCAGAGGAAACUCUGGUGGAGGCUCGCAGCGGUUCUGACGUGCAAAUCGAUCGUCAAAUUUGGGUAUAGGGGCGAAAGACUAAUCGAACCAUCUAGUAGCUGGUUCCUGCCGAAGUUUCCCUCAG